AGUGAACGCUGGCGGUAGGCCUAACACAUGCAAGUCGAACGGCAGCACAGUAAGAGCUUGCUCUUACGGGUGGCGAGUGGCGGACGGGUGAGGAAUACAUCGGAAUCUACUUUUUCGUGGGGGGUAACGUAGGGAAACUUACGCUAAUACCGCAUACGACCUACGGGUGAAAGCAGGGGAUCUUCGGACCUUGCGCGAUUGAAUGAGCCGAUGUCGGAUUAGCUAGUUGGCGGGGUAAAGGCCCACCAAGGCGACGAUCCGUAGCUGGUCUGAGAGGAUGAUGAGCCACACUGGAACUGAGACACGGUCCAGACUCCUACGGGAGGCAGCAGUGGGGAAGAUUGGACAAUGGGCGCAAGCCUGAUCCAGCCAUACCGCGUGGGUGAAGAAGGCCUUCGGGUUGUAAAGCCCUUUUGUUGGGAAAGAAAAGCAGCAGGUUAAUACCCCGCUGUUCUGACGGUACCCAAAGAAUAAGCACCGGCUAACUUCGUG
rnacentral:rRNA from 1 species